rnacentral:lncRNA from 1 species
AUCCUCUUCUAUCUCCUUUGUCUAAGCUGUUGCCUUCUCCUUCUCUAUGUUGAGCUCCUCUAACCUUGCCCUACCCUUCUCUAGUUCUGUUCUUCCUCUUAAGACUCAAGUCCAACAUCCUCUAAUCCCCUACAAUUGAAAAGCUUGGUUUUGAUGGGACUAGAGUGUAUAUCUACUGAUAUCCAAAACUUACCUUUGCUCUAGUUCAUCUAACGUGUCUAAAAUCUUUUACGUGGGUCUAAUCUGGUCCAAUCCAAUAAGCAAUUGGAUCGGAAAUGCUAGGCCAAGUUUGAACAAGAUCAGGCCC